GAAGGGCUUUGCCUGCUACGUCACAAAUGAGUAAUGUUAUGGUUGAAUGUGAAAAAUCCCCCACAGGCUUCUGCACUUGAACUCUUGGCCUCCAGCUGGGGGCGCUGUUGUUUUGGAAGGCUCCAGCUGGGGGCGCUGUUUUGGAAGGUUCUAGCUACCAGGUGGAGCUGAGCUGGGAGAAGCAGAAGUGAGUGAGCAGCCUCAUGCCUCCUCUGCUACAGCCAAGAGCCUUUCCCAUUCCCCGACCCUGCCUUUCCACCGCGAUGGAAACAGUGAACCACGGUGAACCUGUCCGCUCAGAUCACGGUUAGAAACCAGAGCUCACGGUAAAGACCUUUAGGGUCUCCGGGCCUGAAGUGGCACACACAUUGUUGUUGUGCCCAACUUUUCAGUGUCCCAAUGCUAGGUCACCAUUGCAUGAACAUUGACUCCUAACAGAAAGCCCUCUUCCUUUGUCCAUUCUA